AUUGAACGCUGGCGGCAGGCCUAACACAUGCAAGUCGAACGAGUGGCGGACGGGUGAGUAAUGUCUGGGAAACUGCCUGAUGGAGGGGGCUAACUACUGGAAACGAUAGCUAAUACCGCAUACCAUCAGAUGUUCCCAGAUGGGAUUGGCUAGUAGGUGGGGUAACGGCUCACCUAGGCGACGAUCCCUAGCUGGUCUGAGAGGAUGACCAGCAACACGUGAACUGAGACACGGUCCAGACUCCUACGGGAGGCAGCAGUGGGGAAUAUUGCACACUGGGCGCAAGCCUGAUGCAGCCAUGCCGGGUGUAUGAAGAAGGCCUUCGGGUUGUAAAGUACUUGCAGCGGGGAGGCGUUACCCGCAGAAGAAGCACCGGCUAACUCCGUGCCAGCAGCCGCGGUAAUUC
rnacentral:rRNA from 1 species